rnacentral:rRNA from 1 species
GUGCAUCGGUAGCUACACAUGCAGCCGAGCGGUAGAGAUUCUUCGGAAUCUUGAGAGCGGCGUACGGGUGCGGAACACGUGUGCAACCUGCCUUUAUCAGGGAGAUAGCCUUUCGAAAGGAAGAUUAAUACCCCAUAAUAUAUUAAGUGGCAUCACUUGAUAUUGAAAACUACGGUGGAUAGAGAUGGGCACGCGCAAGAUUAGAUAGUUGGUGGGGUAACGGCCCACCAAGUCUACGAUCUUUAGGGGGCCUGAGAGGGUGAUCCCCCACACUGGUACUGAGACACGGACCAGACUCCUACGGGAGGCAGCAGUGAGGAAUAUUGGACAAUGGGUGAAAGCCUGAUCCAGCCAUCCCGCGUGAAGGACGACGGCCCUAUGGGUUGUAAACUUCUUUUGUAUAGGGAUAAACCUAGAUACGUGUAUCUAGCUGAAGGUACUAUACGAAUAAGCACCGGCUAACUCCGUGCCAGCAGCCGCGGUAAUACGGAGGGUGCAAGCGUUAUCCGGAUUUAUUGGGUUUAAAGGGUCCGUAGGCGGAUCUGUAAGUCAGUGGUGAAAUCUCACAGCUUAACUGUGAAACUGCCAUUGAUACUGCAGGUCUUGAGUGUUGUUGAAGUAGCUGGAAUAAGUAGUGUAGCGGUGAAAUGCAUAGAUAUUACUUAGAACACCAAUUGCGAAGGCAGGUUACUAAGCAACAACUGACGCUGAUGGACGAAAGCGUGGGGAGCGAACAGGAUUAGUACCCCCUGGGUAAA